rnacentral:rRNA from 1 species
CAGUAGCCGCGGUAAUACGAAGGGGGCUAGCGUUGUUCGGAAUCACUGGGCGUAAAGCGCACGUAGGCGGACUUUUAAGUCAGGGGUGAAAUCCCAAGGCUCAACCUUGGAACUGCCUUUGAUACUGGGAGUCUUGAGUUCGGGAGAGGUGAGUGGAACUGCGAGUGUAGAGGUGAAAUUCGUAGAUAUUCGCAAGAACACCAGUGGCGAAGGCGGCUCACUGGCCCGAUACUGACACUGAGGUGCGAAAGCGUGGGGAGCAAACAGGAUUAGAUACCCCCGUAGUCCCUGUCUCUUAUAC